rnacentral:tRNA from 8 species
GGCAGCAUAACCAAGUGGUAAGGCAGAGGUCUGCAAAACCUUCGCCUCCGGUUCGAAUCCGAGUGCCGCCU